UACAGAGGGUGCAAGCGUUGUUCGGAAUUAUUGGGCGUAAAGGGCGCGUAGGCGGUGCGGUAAGUCUCUUGUGAAAUCUCCGGGCUCAACCCGGAGCCUGCAAGGGAAACUGCCGUGCUUGAGUGUGGGAGAGGUGAGUGGAAUCCCGGUGUAGCGGUGAAAUGCGUAGAUAUCGGGAGGAACACCUGUGGCGAAAGCGGCUCACUGGACCACAACUGACGCUGAUGCGCGAAAGCUAGGGGAGCAAACAGG
rnacentral:rRNA from 1 species